rnacentral:rRNA from 1 species
GACGAACGCUGGCGGCGUGCCUAAUACAUGCAAGUAGAACGCUGAAGGAGGAGCUUGCUCUUCUGGAUGAGUUGCGAACGGGUGAGUAACGCGUAGGUAACCUGCCUGGUAGCGGGGGAUAACUAUUGGAAACGAUAGCUAAUACCGCAUAAGAGUAGAGGUUGCAUGACAUUUACUUAAAAGUUGCAAUUGCAUCACUACCAGAUGGACCUGCGUUGUAUUAGCUAGUUGGUGGGGUAACGGCUUACCAAGGCGACGAUACAUAGCCGACCUGAGAGGGUGAUCGGCCACACUGGGACUGAGACACGGCCCAGACUCCUACGGGAGGCAGCAGUAGGGAAUCUUCGGCAAUGGACGGAAGUCUGACCGAGCAACGCCGCGUGAGUGAAGAAGGUUUUCGGAUCGUAAAGCUCUGUUGUAAGAGAAGAACGAGUGUGAGAGUGGAAAGUUCACACUGUGACGGUAUCUUACCAGAAAGGGACGGCUAACUACGUG